UUGAUGAAACCUAGAAUUUACCUUGUUGGUUCGAUUGAUUGGGUGAAGCAAGCAAUAGAAAUGAUCUUAGGCAAGAAUUUUUGUAGAGUGAACCAACUUAAUAAUAUAUCUCUUUGUGGCCAACCUUGUGAAAUGUGUGGACUUUUCUUGGCACCCUUUGAGCCUAUCCUUUUCUUAGAUGAAACUUGAAAAACUUUGACCUUUUUAUACCAUCACCUAUAACCUUCAUGAGGUUUUGGUUUGUUUGAAUAGCCAACUUAGGCCAAAAUCCUAAGU
rnacentral:lncRNA from 1 species